UUGGUUGUAUUCUCAAAAAAAUUCAAGUGUUACCUUGGCUGGUUCUUGAACAUAUCCAUAAUGCUUUUAUUGUGUGAUAUUAUCACCCCAUUACUGAAAGAGUUAAUUACACACCUAAUUAGGUUCUUUUUUCUCAUUCUCACUCUGCUCUGUGAAUUGGUCCUUUGUCCCAAGGCUCCUGAGGAAUUUUAACUUACAUAAUUAAUUAAUACAUUUUAACCCUUCAAAUGUGAGUCUAACACCACGCCUAGUUAAACAUAAUUUUAGAUUGCUGUUGGACAGCCUAUGGUACUAUGCAGUGGACAAGCUGAAAUCAAGUAAUUAAGUGUUGUUAGGUUAGGAUAACAUAUGAUUUUUAAGAAAGUGAUCGGCCGGGCGCGGUGGCUCACGCCUGUAAUCCCAGCACUUUGGGAGGCCGAGGCGGGCGGAUCACGAGGUCAGGAGAUCGAGACCAUCCCGGCUAAAACGGUGAAACCCCGUCUCUACUAAAAAUACAAAAAAUUAGCCGGGCGUAGUGGCGGGCGCCUGUAGUCCCAGCUACUUGGGAGGCUGAGGCAGGAGAAUGGCGUGAACCCGGGAGGCGGAGCUUGCAGUGAGCCGAGAUCCCGCCACUGCACUCCAGCCUGGGCGACAGAGCGAGACUCCGUCUCAAAAAAAAAAAAAAAAAAAAAAAAAAAAAAAAA
rnacentral:lncRNA from 1 species